AUUGAACGCUGGCGGCAGGCCUAACACAUGCAAGUCGAGCGGAUGAAGGGAGCUUGCUCCUGGAUUCAGCGGCGGACGGGUGAGUAAUGCCUAGGAAUCUGCCUGGUAGUGGGGGAUAACGUCCGGAAACGGGCGCUAAUACCGCAUACGUCCUGAGGGAGAAAGUGGGGGAUCUUCGGACCUCACGCUAUCAGAUGAGCCUAGGUCGGAUUAGCUAGUUGGUGGGGUAAAGGCCUACCAAGGCGACGAUCCGUAACUGGUCUGAGAGGAUGAUCAGUCACACUGGAACUGAGACACGGUCCAGACUCGUACGGGAGGCAGCAGUGGGGAAUAUUGGACAAUGGGCGAAAGCCUGAUCCAGCCAUGCCGCGUGUGUGAAGAAGGUCUUCGGAUUGUAAAGCACUUUAAGUUGGGAGGAAGGGCAGUAAGUUAAUACCUUGCUGUUUUGACGUUACCAACAGAAUAAGCACCGGCUAACUUCGU
rnacentral:rRNA from 1 species